AGCUUUGCACAGUGGCAGUGUCAUAGCCAAUGAGUUUUAUCCAAGGCACGAUUAUUGCUAAUUGAAAAUUUAAUUUCUGUACAG
rnacentral:snRNA from 1 species